rnacentral:rRNA from 1 species
AACGAACGCUGGCGGCAUGCCUAACACAUGCAAGUCGAACGAGACCUUCGGGUCUAGUGGCGCACGGGUGCGUAACGCGUGGGAACCUGCCCUUAGGUUCGGAAUAACUCCCCGAAAGGGGUGCUAAUACCGGAUAAUGUCUUCGGACCAAAGAUUUAUCGCCUUUGGAUGGGCCCGCGUUGGAUUAGCUAGUUGGUAGGGUAAAAGCCUACCAAGGCGACGAUCCAUAGCUGGUCUGAGAGGAUGAUCAGCCACACUGGGACUGAGACACGGCCCAGAAUCCUACGGGAGGCAGCAGUGGGGAAUAUUGGACACUGGGCGAAAGCCUGAUCCAGCAAUGCCGCGUGAGUGAUGAAGGCCUUAGGGUUGUAAAGCUCUUUUACCCGGGAUGAUAAUGACAGUACCGGGAGAAUAAGCUCCGGCUAACUACGUG